GAUGAACGCUAGCGAUAGGCCUAACACAUGCAAGUCGAGGGACCGGCGCACGGGUGCGUAAUGCGUAUGCAACUUGCCUCUAAGAGGGGGAUAACUCGUCGAAAGACGGACUAAUACCGCGUACUGUGAGAUAGGCAUGCGUCCCAUUAGCUAGUUGGUGAGGUAACGGCUCACCAAGGCAACGGUGGGUAGGGGAACUGAGAGGGUGCAACCCCGCACUGGUACUGAGGCCCAGACCAGACUCGUACGAGAGGCAGCAGUGAAGAAUAUUGGUCAAGGGGCGAGGGCCUGAACCAGCCAAGUCGCGUGAAAGAGGACUGUGUAUGGAAUGUAAACUUCUUUUGAAGGAGAAUAUGUACCCUACGAAUAAGCAUCGGCUAACUCCGUGCCAGCCGCCGCGGUAAUUC
rnacentral:rRNA from 1 species